rnacentral:rRNA from 1 species
AGUCACUGACAUUAGAUACCCCUGUAGUCCCAGCCGUAAACUAUGCGCGUUAGGUGUACUGGUGACCACGAGUCACCGGGGUGCCGUAGGGAAGCCGUGAAGCGAGCCACCUGGGAAGUACGGCCGCAAGGCUGAAACUUAAAGGAAUUGGCGGGGAGCACCACAACGGGUGGAGCUUGCGGUUUAAUUGGAUUCAACGCCGGAAAUCUUACCGGGACCGACAGCAACAUGAAGGCCAGGCUGAAGACUUUGCCGGAUUAGCUG